rnacentral:lncRNA from 1 species
UACAAAAGGCACAUAUCAUAACAUUGCACACUCAUAAUGGAUUAGUUUCUUUUUUUAUUAAGAUAUAGUUUCAAUUUCACUACACUUGAUCAUUGUUGCAAAAGCACUCAUAAAAGAUAAAAGAAAUAACUGAUUAUCAAAAUCAUUUGCAUCCCCCCGGGGGACAAUGAUAGAUAUAGUCUUCGAGAGCUUUCUUUAGCUUCGCAAUCAAACACUCUUCCCUUGUAAUCCCUGAGCAAUCAACAAUGUCUGGUGAUGCUGUAGGAUUACUGGAAAAUGAUACAUCUGCGGUAGAUCCUUGGCCAAUAUGAUUGGCUAAAAUAAGUCUACUUUCAGUGUUUGCCACUACGAGUAAAGCCAAGAUGAUGAAACUAAGGCUCUUCGACAUAUUUCUAUUUCUUAGGUGAAUUAUCAAUAACUUAAUUAGAAGUAUAA